rnacentral:lncRNA from 1 species
CGACUCUACUGGGGAUCUUUUUUUUUGAGAGUCGAGUCUGAUGUUAAACGCGUGUUGUCAAAAUUUUCAAAUUUUCUUGUUCAAAUUAAUUUUUAAUCGUGAUCCUUGAAUUUUGUUUUCAAAAGUCAUGCAUUUGCAUUCGGUUUUUAUAUUAAUAUUUUUCUAAUGUGUUUUAUUUUUCUGUUUUUUUUAGCUCUAAGUUUUACGUUUUUUGUUUUAGUAAAUCAAAAAUAAAAGGUUUGUGAGUUUCUCUCCAC